UACCAAAGGGAAACCGCGGGAAGCAACUUGGUCGUCACGUCACAAGAACUCAGUGUUGAUUGAUGCUACACUUUACCUUGGUUCACUGAACACCUGUGCUGUGUGACAGGUACCAUACCUGCGGGGCACAGACCUCACCUGGAGUACAUGGCACACCUGUGGUGGCCAUGAAGGAGACAGAGGACACUUGCUGACACACCCUGCUGUGCACCUGAAUACACACCUGUGGUGAUAACUACCUGUUCCACCUGACCUCGCCCUCCACACCUGGUACAGUUUUUCUCAAGUAGAAGUGCAACUGUGACAGACAAUAGAGCGGAGACACAUGCUGCAGCUAUCCCACUGUGCACCUGAAUGUAUACCUGUCACAAAAACUACCUGUACACACCUAGAACACCUG